AUACGGAGGGGGCAAGCGUUAUUCGGAAUUACUGGGCGUAAAGCGCGCGCAGGUGGCUUGGUAAGUGGUAGGUGAAAUCCCUUGGCUCAACCGAGGAACUGCCUGCCAAACUGCUGAGCUUGAGGCUGGGAGGGGAGAGCGGAAUUCCUGGUGUAGCGGUGAAAUGCGUAGAUACCAGGAGGAACACCGGUGGCGAAGGCGGCUCUCUGGACCAGUUCUGACACUCAUGCGCGAAAGCGUGGGGAGCAAACAGGAUUAGAUACCCUGGUAGUCCACGCCCUAAACGAUGGGCACUAGGCGUCGCGGGUGUCGACCCCUGCGGUGCCGUAGCUAACGCGUUAAGUGCCCCGCCUGGGGAGUACGGUCGCAAGGCUGAA
rnacentral:rRNA from 1 species